rnacentral:rRNA from 1 species
UACGUAGGGUGCAAGCGUUGUCCGGAAUUAUUGGGCGUAAAGAGCUCGUAGGCGGUUUGUCGCGUCUGCUGUGAAAACUCGGGGCUUAACUCCGGGCCUGCAGUGGGUACGGGCAGACUAGAGUGCGGUAGGGGAGACUGGAAUUCCUGGUGUAGCGGUGAAAUGCGCAGAUAUCAGGAGGAACACCUGUGGUGUAGACAGCUUGCUGGACCAUCACUGACGCUGAGGCACGAAAGCGUGGGUAGCAAACAGG